GCCAAGAGGGGGGGGGUGUAUUCUUGUAAUUCAACUACUCGGAGGCUAGGUAUAGAGGAUGUUUUAAGGGCGGGGGAUUCUCGAAAUGGUUUUCCCACGUUUAUUAGGAGUCCGCUAGGGGUAAAUUUUCGACGUGGAUGCCUCGGGGGUGCCCCGAGGUAGCCAGGCUAAAUUCAAAAAGGGAAAAAAUCGGCUCAUAAGUCACCGAGUUCAGAGUCGUGAGUUCAAAUCCUGAGAGUGGGAGUUCGCUUUCAGGUCGUUCAAAUAAGAACAAACCUGUACCUAC
rnacentral:SRP_RNA from 1 species